rnacentral:rRNA from 1 species
GACGAACGCUGGCGGCGUGCCUAAUACAUGCAAGUAGAACGCAGUUGCGAACGGGUGAGUAACGCGUAGGUAACUGCCUCAUAGAGGGGGAUAACUAUUGGAAACGAUAGCUAAUACCGCAUACUGUGAGAUGGACCUGCGUUGUAUUAGCUAGUUGGUUAGGUAAAGGCUCACCAAGGCGACGAUACAUAGCCGACCUGAGAGGCGGUGCUGGCACGCUGGGACUGUGACAAGUCCCACACUUCCACUGGAGACAGCAGUAGGGAGUUGUCGGCAAAGGUCGGAAGUCUGACCGAGCAACGCCGCGUGAGUUAAGAAGGUUUUUGGAUCGUAAAGCUCUGUUUUUAGAGAAUCGGUCACUAACCAGAAAGGUCCUGCCAACUACGUGCCAGCAGCCGCGGUAAUUC